rnacentral:rRNA from 1 species
AACCCCUGCCCUUAGUUGCCAUCGGGUCACGCCGGGAACUCUAAGGGGACCGCCCCGGACAACGGGGAGGAAGGUGGGGAUGACGCCAAGUCAGCAUGGCCUUUAUGUCCAGGGCUACACACGUGCUACAAUGGUUGGUACAAAGGGUUGCCAAGCCGUGAGGCGGAGCCAAUCUCAAAAAGCCAACCUCAGUUCGGAUUGCAGUCUGCAACUCGACUGCAUGAAGUUGGAAUCGCUAGUAAUCGCUGAUCAGCAGGCAGCGGUGAAUACGUUCCCGGGCCUU